ACAUCCUAAAAUAUUCCAUACAUGUGUAAAACAAAAACCAUGAUACUGACAUCAUUGUAAAUGUAUGCUUCAUUGACAAUAUACUUGUAUAUUUGUAUGAUUCUGGUGCUUCCCCCACUUAUUUCAUGACCAAGAAGUCCUAAUACAAUUAUCAAGUCAUCUUAAAAGGAAACUGAGUCAUAAGAUUCACUUCUCUCAUUCCUUUGCUCUUUGAAUAGGAUAUAGCCUAGAGAGAAAGAGAGAGAGAGAGAGAGAGAGAGAGAGAGAGAGGCAAGCAGUACUGAACACACAUCAGAGAAACUGUAUGAACAAUUACAAACUACAAAAAUGAUGAGCAAGCUGAGUAUAGCAGUUAAUGCCUUUAAUCCCAGCACUGUGGAGGCAGAUGCAGGUUUAUCUCUGGUCUACCCAGGACAGCCAGAGAUACAUAUUAAGGCCCUGUCUCCCCUGUAAUAAUCAAUCAAACACACAAGAAAGACUCUAGGAGUCAGAGGAUUUUACUGGAGUUCCUACAAAGAAUUACACGUCUAUUCCAGUUCUCUGUUCAUCUUCCAGAAUCCUGAAGUGUCCCAGUUUUUUCCAUAAUUCUGCCUUACUUAAUUUCUCAGAGCAUGGGAAGAAUAAGGAAGUUUUCAGGUCAAAUUACCACAAAAAUGACCUCUAGCUAAAAUUUUCAUUCUAUUUUCAACUGAAAUCCUACAACAUCAACUUCUGUCUGCAUAACUUGCAAUAUUCAUAUCUUCCAGAUGCCACAACAACAGCAAGUUAAGCUCUGAGUGCAGAUUUCUUUGCUGUUUGCCAUCUCAAGUCCUGAUAUCUCCCACAUUCCUCCAAAGGAGAACAUGUCCAGUUUCUUUUCAGCAACAAAAUCACUUUUUGAAGGUUUUUUUCCCCUUGGUUCUGACUCGAUACUCUGCUACUUUGAUUAAAUCCUCUAACCAAAAGCAACUCAGCACACUGUCACCUUAAGGCACCCAGCUUGUCCUCAACAAAAGAGCACUGAGCUUGAUAUUGGAUUGCUACCCAGCACAUGAGAUGUCUUUUACAACCUCCACAAAAUUAACUCCAAUGGAUUGUCCACCUUAAUGGCAAAUGGUAAGAACAGAACUUGCAGAAACUAGUACUCUCUGAGUUUGGGAUCAUGCCAAAGAUCUUUCUACACACAGGCCAAAUGCUCUGCACAGAUGCAGCCCCCACAGUGAAGUUAUUCAGAGGCUACAGCUGGGUCCCCCAAGUGGCUAGGACCUCACACGUGGCCGCCGAUUCCCAUUCAGUCCUGUGAAAGCCCCACCACACCAGCUCGCGCUGCUGAGACCCCUGCUUCUCCCCAUUGUUGGCAGUGACCCUGUGCUUACCAUGUCGCAACUUCGGAGCUUGCCUGUGCACAAUCCACAGCAUCCAACCGCAGGAAACGGAGCACGGCACACAGAACCAUUCAAGCACUCAACCAGGAAGCGAAACCGACACCACCGCACCCGGAAAACCCGCCUUCUCUUCUGACACGCAGGUCUGCCUGGAGGCUCUGAUUGGCCAGUAAGUCUUGAGUGAGUCGAGCACCUCCCUUAGAGUUAGAGUGUGCUGAAGCCACACAGUGUAGAAGUUCUCAGACCAAGCUUCAAAUCCAGGGACGACCUUUUCCAGAUCUACAGGGAUUUUCAUUUCUGUAAUACUUGUGCCGGUCCUCCAAUAGCCUACCCUUCUGUCUCCCCGCACAGCCCCAGGGAGGAACCACCACUGCACCUAUCACUGCUCAGCCGCUUGCUCCUCCCCUAUGUGAACAGUUGACCCCGUGCUCAGCAAGUCCUUGACUUUUCAGCCUGAGCUUUCCUCACUCAGUAGACUGUUUGCCUUCCUCCUGGAAUCAAGAUAACUGUGCUGUGAAAAGUGCUGGAGUCCAUCUCUGGUGGGGUUCUGGAACCUGAAGACAGAUGUGUGGUCUCCGCAAAAGUGAGGACUCUGACUACCUGUUAGACCUUUCAACCAAGUGGCACUGAAUAGCUCGAGUCAUCUUUCUUUAAACAAUCUUUCUUUAAACAAUCACAAGCCUGCUCCCAGGAGCAGUGAUAUCAUUGGUUAUUCUACUUAAUGAAAUCAUAACAUCAGCAUUAUAAAAGCCCCAUCACUGUAAAAGCCCCCAAUAGUUUUCCUUCCUCCUUCCCAUCUCCUGCUAUCGAUUGAGGAAUGUAAGCUCCAGGGAUGUGGCAGACAGCAUCUGGUGUGCUCCAACUCAGAGAAGCCUUCGUGCAGCAAAAAAGAUGUUACAGAUAUUUCCCUUAGCAAACAAGGAUCAGAAACUCUAUACACAAUGCAGGAUUUUCACAUGCCUCUUUCUGCUCAUUUAUGAUACAAACUGUUAAAUGGUUGUUGCUUCCCUCGAUGAGUUAUUCUGAUUAAAGAUUAUCUGGAAAUGA